rnacentral:rRNA from 1 species
AUUGAACGCUGGCGGCAGGCCUAACACAUGCAAGUCGAACGAGUGGCGGACGGGUGAGUAAUGUCUGGGACACUGCCUGAUGGAGGGGGAUAACUACUGGACACGGUAGCUAAUACCGCAUACCAUCGGAUGUGCCCAGAUGGGAUUAGCUAGUAGGUGGGGUAAAGGCUCACCUAGGCGACGAUCCCUAGCUGGUCUGAGAGGAUGACCAGCUACACUGGAACGGAGACACGGUCCAGACGCCUACGGGAGGAAGCAUGGGGGAAUAUUGCAGAAUGGGCGCAAGCCUGAUGCAGCCAUGCCGCGUGUAUGAAGAAGGCCUUCGGGGUGUAAAGUACGUUCAGCGGGGAGGCGUUACCCGCAGAAGAAGCACCGGCGAACUCCGUGCCAGCAGCCGCGGUAAUUC